rnacentral:rRNA from 1 species
CCUACGGGAGGCAGCAGGGAUGAAUAUUGGACAAUGGGCGCAAGCCUGAUCCAGCCAUGCCGCGUGCAGGAUGACGGUCCUAUGGAUUGUAAACUGCUUUUAUACGAGAAGAAACACCCCUACGUGUAGGGACUUGACGGUAUCGUAAGAAUAAGGAUCGGCUAACUCCGUGCCAGCAGCCGCGGUAAUACGGAGGAUCCAAGCGUUAUCCGGAAUCAUUGGGUUUAAAGGGUCCGUAGGCGGUUUAGUAAGUCAGUGGUGAAAUCUCCCCGCUCAACGGGGAACGGCCAUUGAUACUGCUAGACUUGAAUUAUUAGGAAGUAACUAGAAUAUGUAGUGUAGCGGUGAAAUGCUUAGAGAUUACAUGGAAUACCAAUUGCGAAGGCAGGUUACUACUAAUGGAUUGACGCUGAUGGACGAAAGCGUGGGUAGCGAACAGGAUUAGAUACCCUGGUAGUCCACGCCGUAAACGAUGGAUACUAGCUGUUGGGUGCAAACUCAGUGGCUAAGCGAAAGUGAUAAGUAUCCACUGGGGAGUACGUUCGCAAGAAUGAAACUUAAGGAAUUGACGG